rnacentral:rRNA from 1 species
GUAACGCUGGCGGCAUGUCUGAGGCAUGCAAGUCGAACGAUGAUUUUUUAACUUCGGUUUUAGAAUCAAGUGGCAAACGGGAGAGUAACACAUUGGUAACCUACCUUUAAGCCGAGCAUAGCUCACUGAAAAGUGAAUUAAUACUCGAUAGUCAUGAGGGGACGCAAGUCAUUCUCAUGUAAAACUCCGGUGCUUAGAGAGGGGCCUAUGUCUGAUUAGUUUGUUGGUGGGGUAAUGGCCUACCAAGACUAUGAUCAGUACCGGGCGUGAGAGCGUGACCCGGCUCACUGGGACUGAGACACUGCCCAGACUCCUACGGGAGGCUGCAGUCAAGAAUCUUCCACAAUGGGCGAAGGCCUGAUGGAGCGAUGCCGCGUGCAGGAAGAAGUCCUUCGGGAUGUAAACUGCUUUUAUAAGGGACGAAUUCGUGACGGUACCUUAUGAAUAAGAGGUUGCUAACUCUGUGCCAGCAGCAGCGGUAAUACAGAGACCUCAAGCGUUGUCCGGAAUUACUGGGCGUAAAGCGUCCGCAGGUGGUUUUCUAAGUCAAUGGUCAAAUCCUGGGGCUUAACUUCAGGACUGCCGUUGAUACUGGAAAACUUGAGGCUGGAAGAGGCAAGCGGAACUAUCGGUGUAGUCGUAAUAAGCGCUGAUAUCGAUAGGAACACCAAAGGCGAAGGCAGCUUGCUAGUACGUGCCUGACACUCAUGGACGAAAGCGUGGGUAGCGAAUCGGAUUAGAUACCCGAGUAGUCCACGCCGUAAACGAUG